UUAAUACCGGAUAGAUCAAAGAUACUGGAAUGUUCUCUGGUCUAAAGCUCCGGCGCUCAAGGAUGGGUCUGCGGCCUAUCAGGUAGUAGUGGGUGUAACGUACCUACUAGCCUACGACGGGUACGGGUUGUGAGAGCAAGAUCCCGGAGAUGGAUUCUGAGACAUGAAUCCAGGCCCUACGGGGUGCAGCAGGCGCGAAACCUUUACACUGCGGGCAACCGCGAUAAGGGGACCCCGAGUGCCAGCACCUAGUGCUGGCUGUCCCGCUGUUUAAAUCACAGUGGUUAGCAAGGGCCGGGCAAGACCGGUGCCAGCCGCCGCGGUAACACCGGCGGCCCGAGUGGUAGCCGCUAUUAUUGGGUUUAAAGGGUCCGUAGCCGGCCUAUUAAGUCUCUUGGGAAAUCUGGCGGCUCAAUCGUCAGGCGUUCA
rnacentral:rRNA from 1 species